rnacentral:rRNA from 1 species
UACGAAGGGGGCUAGCGUUGCUCGGAAUCACUGGGCGUAAAGGGUGCGUAGGCGGGUUUUUAAGUCAGGGGUGAAAUCCCGAGGCUCAACCUCGGAACUGCCUUUGAUACUGGGGAUCUGGAGUCCGGGAGAGGUGAGCGGAACUGCGAGUGUAGCGGUGAAAUGCGCAGAUAUCAGGAGGAACACCGGUGGCGAAGGCGGGUCUCUGGGCCGAUACUGACGCUCAUGCACGAAAGCGUGGGGAGCAAACAGG